GUGCCAGCCGCCGCGGUAAUACAGAGGGUGCUAGCGUUAAUCGGAAUUACUGGGCGUAAAGCGUGUGUAGGUGGUUAGAUAAGUUAGAUGUGAAAUCCCCGGGCUUAACCUGGGCAUUGCGUUUAAGACUGUUUAGCUUGAGUACUGUAGAGGAUAGUGGAAUUUCCAGUGUAGCGGUGAAAUGCGUAGAUAUUGGAAGGAACACCAGUGGCGAAGGCGACUAUCUGGACAGAUACUGACACUGAGACACGAAAGCGUGGGGAGCAAACAGGAUUAGAAACCCGUGUAGUCC
rnacentral:rRNA from 1 species